CAGAGGUUACUGSUAUCGAGRYUCGACUAAGCCAUGCGAGUUGAAUGUUCUUCGUGAACAUGGCGGACUGCUCAGUAACACGUGGACAACCUACCCUUGGGUCCGGCAUAAUCCUGGGAAACUGGGAAUAAUUCCGGAUAGGUCACCGAUGCUGGAAUGCGCGGUGGCCGAAAGCUCCGGCGCCCGAGGAUGGGUCUGCGGCCUAUCAGGGUUGUAGUGGGUGUAACGUACCUACUAGCCUACGACGGGUACGGGUUGUGAGAGCAAGAGCCCGGAGAUGGAUUCUGAGACACGAAUCCAGGCCCUACGGGGUGCAGCAGGCGCGAAAACUUUACAAUGCGGGAAACCGUGAUAAGGGGAUCUCGAGUGCCAGCAUAUAAUGUUGGCUGUCCAGAUGCCUAAAAAGCAUCUGUUAGCAAGGGCCGGGCAAGACCGGUGCCAGCCGCCGCGGUAACACCGGCGGCCCGAGUGGUAACCGCUAUUAUUGGGUCUAAAGGGUCUGUAGCCGGCCAGGUAAGUCCCUUGGGAAAUCUGGCAGCUCAACUGUCAGGCUGCUAGGGGAUACUGUUUGGCUUGGGACCGGGAGAGGUGAGAGGUACCUUGGGGGUAGGGGUGAAAUCUUGUGAUCCUCGAGGGACCACCAGUGGCGAAGGCGUCUCACCAGAACGGGUCCGACGGUAAGGGACGAAAGCUAGGGGCACGAACCGGAUUAGAUACCCGGGUAGUCCUAGCCGUAAACGAUGCUCGCUAGGUGUCAGUCACGGUGCGACCGUGAUUGGUGCCGUAGGGAAGCCGUGAAGCGAGCCACCUGGGAAGUAUGGCCGCAAGGCUGAAACUUAAAGGAAUUGGCGGGSGAGCACUACAMMGRSYGGAGCCUGCGGUUUAAUG
rnacentral:rRNA from 1 species